AAUACGCUUCCUCCGUCUGAAAAUAUUUGUCGAAAAAAAAUGAAUGUAUCUAGAUGCAUUUUAAUUCUAGAUACAUUUAUUUUUAUUCAUUUGUCAGACAAAUAUUUUCGGACGGAGGUGGUAUAUG
rfam:Hordeum vulgare subsp. vulgare, WGS project CAJW01000000 data, contig: morex_contig_65668